CCUUUGACAUGUACGGAAUCNUGAAGAGAUUUGGGAGUGCUCGAAAGAGAACCGUAACACAGGUGUUGCAUGGCCNCUCGUCAGCUCGUGUCGUGAGAUGUUGGGUUAAGUCCCGCAACGAGCGCAACCCUUGUCAUUAGUUGCUACGAAAGGGCACUCUAAUGAGACUGCCGGUGACAAACCGGAGGAAGGUGGGGAUGACGUCAAGUCCUCAUGGCCNUUAUAGGUGGGGCUACACACGUCAUACAAUGGCUGGUACAAAGGGUUGCCAACCCGCGAGGGGGAGCUAAAAACAUAAAACCAGUCGUAGUCCGGAUCGCAGUCUGCAACUCGACUACGUGAAGCUGGAAUCGCUAGUAAUCGCGGAUCAGCAUGCCGCGGUGAAUACGUUCCCGGGUCUUGUACACACCGCCCGUCACACCAUGGGAGUGGGCUUUACCAGAAGUAGUUAGCCU
rnacentral:rRNA from 1 species